rnacentral:rRNA from 1 species
GACGAACGCUGGCGGCGUGCUUAACACAUGCAAGUCGAACGCGAAAGCCCCGCAAGGGGUGAGUAGAGUGGCAAACGGGUGAGUAACACGUGGGUGACCUGCCUUCGAGUGGGGGAUAACGUCCCGAAAGGGACGCUAAUACCGCAUAACAUCCUGCCUUUUAAGAGGUGGACAUCAAAGCUGGGGAUCGCAAGACCUAGCGCUUGAAGAGGGGCCCGCGCCUGAUUAGCUAGNGGUGGGGUAAGUGGCUCACCAAGGCAACGAUCAGUAUCCGGCCUGAGAGGGCGGACGGACACACUGGGACUGAGACACGGCCCAGACUCCUACGGGAGGCAGCAGUGGGGAAUUGUUCGCAAUGGGCGCAAGCCUGACGACGCAACGCCGCGUGGAGGACGAAGACC